rnacentral:rRNA from 1 species
AGUGAACGCUGGCGGUAGGCCUAACACAUGCAAGUCGAACGGCAGCACAGGAGAGCUUGCUCUCUGGGUGGCGAGUGGCGGACGGGUGAGGAAUACAUCGGAAUCUACUUUUUCGUGGGGGAUAACGUAGGGAAACUUACGCUCAUACCGCAUACGACCUACGGGUGAAAGCAGGGGAUCUUCGGACCUUGCGCGAUUGAAUGAGCCGGUGUCGGAUUAGCUAGUUGGCGGGGUAAAGGCCCACCAAGGCGACGAUCCGUAGCUGGUCUGAGAGGAUGAUCAGCCACACUGGAACUGAGACACGGUCCAGACUCCUACGGGAGGCAGCAGUGGGGAAUAUUGGACAAUGGGCGCAAGCCUGAUCCAGCCAUACCGCGUGGGUGAAGAAGGCCUUCGGGUUGUAAAGCCCUUUUGUUGGGAAAGAAAUCCAGCUGGUUAAUACCCGGUUGGGAUGACGGUACCCAAAGAAUAAGCACCAGCUAACUUCGUGCCAGCAGCCGCCGUAA